UACGAAGGGGGCUAGCGUUGCUCGGAAUCACUGGGCGUAAAGGGUGCGUAGGCGGGUCUUUUAAGUCAGGGGUGAAAUCCUGGAGCUCAACUCCAGAACUGCCUUCGAUACUGGCGAUCUAGAGUCCGGAAGAGGUGAGUGGAACUCCUAGUGUAGAGGUGGAAUUCGUAGAUAUUAGGAAGAACACCAGUGGCGAAGGCGGCUCACUGGUCCGGUACUGACGCUGAGGUGCGAAAGCGUGGGGAGCAAACAGG
rnacentral:rRNA from 1 species